AGUUUUGCACAGUGGCAGUAUCAUAGCCAGUCUGGUUUAUCUGAGGCACAAUUAUUGCUAAUUGAAAUCUGUAUUGUCUUUUGAACAUGGAUACCAUAUAUAACAUCUUUCAGUUUAUGGCUUGAAUUUGUUUUU
rnacentral:snRNA from 1 species